rnacentral:rRNA from 1 species
GGCAUGCCUUACACAUGCAAGUCGAACGGCAGCACGGGAGCAAUCCUGGUGGCGAGUGGCGAACGGGUGAGUAACACAUCGGAACGUGCCCAAUCGUGGGGGAUAACGUAGCGAAAGCUACGCUAAUACCGCAUACGAUCUACGGAUGAAAGCGGGGGAUCGCAAGACCUCGCGCGAAUGGAGCGGCCGAUGGCAGAUUAGGUAGUUGGUGGGGUAAAGGCUCACCAAGCCGACGAUCUGUAGCUGGUCUGAGAGGACGACCAGCCACACUGGAACUGAGACACGGUCCAGACUCCUACGGGAGGCAGCAGUGGGGAAUUUUGGACAAUGGGCGCAAGCCUGAUCCAGCAAUGCCGCGUGCAGGAUGAAGGCCUUCGGGUUGUAAACUGCUUUUGUACGGAACGAAACGGUCCUUUCUAAUACAAGGGGCUAAUGACGGUACCGUAAGAAUAAGCACCGGCUAACUACGUGCCAGCAGCCGCGGUAAUACGUAGGGUGCGAGCGUUAAUCGGAAUUACUGGGCGUAAAGCGUGCGCAGGCGGUGAUGUAAGACAAUUGUGAAAUCCCCGGGCUCAACCUGGGAACUGCAUCUGUGACUGCAUCGCUAGAGUACGGUAGAG